rnacentral:rRNA from 1 species
UACAGAGGUGGCAAGCGUUGUUCGGAAUUACUGGGCGUAAAGGGCGCGUAGGCGGCCAUCUAAGUCAGACGUGAAAUCCCCCGGCUUAACCUGGGAACUGCGUCUGAUACUGGACGGCUUGAGUAUGGGAGAGGGAUGUAGAAUUCCAGGUGUAGCGGUGAAAUGCGUAGAUAUCUGGAGGAAUACCGGUGGCGAAGGCGGCAUCCUGGACCAUUACUGACGCUGAGGCGCGAAAAGCUAGGGGAGCAAACAGG